GAAAAGGAAGUUGGCACAUUUUGAGGGCAGAGGUGCAGGUGAAUGGUUGGGUUUAGGGGCUUUAUAGACCAGAGUAUGUGGUUGAGAACCCUGCCCCUGAACCUCAUUACAGACUGAGCUGCUUCCUGACCGAUUAUCCUAUCAGCUUGUGUCUCCAAACACUACCUCCUGGGGUUGCCACCACCGUACUCCCCAACUCUGCACUUAUUACAGGUUACCGUAAUUGUGAGUCUGGGUUCUGCCUGCCAGUCUGAAUUUUCUCCCAGAACCAGCAGAUGAGUCUAGUACCCUGAUAUCUAUCCUGCCAUCUCUGGAGCAGCGGGUGGUUCUAGUUCUGAGUCUAUUGAAGAUGGUUCAGCCCUUUAUACCCAGCUCCGUUUGGAGAAAAUAUUGCUGAGAAGUUCAGUGUUUAGUGGAAAUAGAGUAACAUCCUAAUGGUGUGGAGAGGAUUCAAGAAUUUUCUCUUGAGAGUAGACUAAAUAAUAUUUGAAAGACCUUUACACUUUGGGAAAUCUGUAAUUUAACACCAAUUGACUUUAGCUUUUAAAAAAUGCAUGAGAGAUUCUCAUGGUAAGCAUGUUGGAAAACCAAUCGUUAUGGGGUUUGUUUUGUCUUGUUUUAACUGUAAUACUUUCUUUCUCAGCACUUUCAUUACCACUGUCAGGAAUGGGUUUCAGAAACCACAAAAAAUUUCAUGGAAGAGACAGGAAAAGAAACUCUUGAAAGAAUUUCACACUGAAUGGAAAAGUUCCUUCUAGUCGUCUUCGAGUGAGCUAGUUCUCAAACAUUAUUCUCUGUAGUCUUCCUGAGAACUCAGACUACUGGUAUGACCCUGCUUGGAAUAUGACUGCUGGAUUCUAGCAAUGUGUUGAUCCCGGCCCCAAGACCCGCCCACGAAAAUGAUUAUUUUAACCCUGAGGACCUAGAUGUGGCCAGUCUUUGCUGGGACCACUGUCGUCAUCGUCAUCGUCACCAUCUGACACUGGCUUUUAUCAAGGGUUGCUCCCUGAGCCUGGAUGCCAAUCAUUCACCUCUCCCUGGCAAAAGUAAUAAAUCAUAGCGAGAAACUGACUGCUUUUGAAGAAUAUAGAAGAUAAAGAAACUGAGUGUUUGAGAACUGGAAGGUGGCAAAAAGCAGCAGGAGGCGAAGAGGAAAAGAUCAAGUGGAAAGAGUCACCACCAUGUGUACUUUGCUCAGCUCGGAACUUGAACCCUUCUACAGAGAUCACGUCUGUCUGAGCCUCUUGAAUCGCCAACCUUGUGAUAAACAAUAGGUAAAUGUAUCCAGGGAGAAACAGGGCAACACCAAGGAGACAACAGGGCCAUAGGACAGGUUCCAGGUACAGCUGAAGGGCCAUCUGGACACCCACUCCCACCCACUUUCGUCAGAGUCACCAAGCACAGUGGGGGGUCGGGGUGGAGCCACAGGCGCUGACAGAGUAGUGACUCCCCCACAACUUCCUCCUUCCUGCCCAGCUCAGCCUGUUUACUCAGCAGACUUGUCUGGUGUAAAGCUCUCAUCUUCCCCACAACAGGCCCCAUUUCUCCACCACCUUCCCAUACCACACAUAGCUGUAUUUCUUAAGGGAGGGAUUUUUCUUUUUACGUUAGCUGUAGACAGCAACCAAAGGUAAAUAACAAUUUGUCUAUAUUUUAUUAUUCGAUUCCUUAAAGAGGUUUCACUUCCUUUGUUGGGAGCAAUGAGCCAAGCAUGAAUAGGUUUUGUGGACACUAAGUCUCAAGUUUGACUGUGACUCCACUUUGGCACUCUACCUGACCUUCUCCGGUAGUGCCGGGCACCUGCCUUACCUUAUUAAGUUAAUUAAAGUUUGGCUACUAAUGACACUCUUCUGGUUCUCCUCCUAACUUGGUGGCUGUCCAUCUAAGUGUCCUUCCCAGGGUCCUCCUCCAAUCAUUAAUAUUGGUAGUCACUAGAAUUCAAUCCUUUCCACAUACACUUCCCGAAUAAUCUCCUUUUGGUGCACCACUAGCUAGAUGUGUGACCUUGGGCAAGUUAUUGGCCUCUGUGUGCCUCAGUUCUUUCAUCUGUGAAAUGAAAAUAAUAAUAUUAUGUGCCUCCUUGGGUUGUUGUGAAGAUUACAUGGGUUGAUAUAAGUAACAUUCUUUUUUUGAAUUUUACUAAGUUUUUAAUUUUAAUUCCAGUGUAGUUAACAUACAGUGUUCUAUUAGUUUCAGUUGUAUGACACAGUAAUUCAGUAAUUCUAUACACUACUCAAUACUUAUCAUGAUAAGGGUACUCUUAAUCCUCAUCACCUAUUUCACUCAUCUCCCCACCCACCUCCCAUCUGGUAACCAUCUGUUUGUUCCCUAUAGUUAAGGAUCUGUUUCUUGGGGUACCUGGGUGGCUCAGUUGAUUAAGUGUCUCACUCUUGGUUUUAGCUCAGGUCAUAAUCUCAUGACUCGCGAAUUCAAGUCCCACAUCGGGCUCUGCGCUGACAGCACAGAGCCUGCUUGGGAUUCUCUGUCUCCCUCUCUCUCUGCCCCUCCUACCCCCUCUCACACUCUCUCUCUGUCUCAAAAAUAAACAUUUUUU